UCCCUGGUGGUCCAGUGGCUAGGAUUCUGUGUUUCCACUGCAGGGUACCAGGGUUCAAUCCCUAGUCAGGGAA
rnacentral:tRNA from 1 species